CAAUACAGUUUUCUGUUCACGACACUAGAAUGUGUUAUGAACAGAGUGUACUAGGUUUUGUAACCUUUGCCAAAGUUGUAAACAUCGCGUUGUUUAGAAGGAGCGCAAAGUCGAAUUGAGUUACUGCACACGCGCAUUUCACAGAGUAGGCGUUCCCUAACGGAAAUAUGCAGAUAUUUGCUGGAAUGGGCCAAAAGGAUCUCGCUAGCUCGUGCUUGGCUCUGCACGCCUACUUGCUUGUUCCGCCCAGUAUGACUCAUCUGUUCUAUGCUAAUUUGACGAAUGUCUUGUAUGACAAAAACCAUUACAAGCUGGUUUUGGGACAGAUCAACAUCGCAAAGAAUUUGACUGACAAUGUUUCCAAAGACUAUGUUUGACUGAAGUAUAGUGAUUCCCUGUACCGCUGUAAACAACUGAAGCGUGCUGCUCUGGGUCGAAUGUGCACCAUCAUGAAGCGACAGAAGCAAAGCUUGGAAUACCUGGAACAAGUGCUCCAGCAUCUUUCCCGUUUACAACUGAUUGAUCCCAAUACUCGGACUCUACUGCUUUGUGGAUAUACCAAUGUGGGCAAGUCUAGUUUAAUCAACAAUGUAUACAUCCCUAUUGCUGUUAUUCUUUGUCAUUUCAAUGGUUGAUACAACCUUGCUGUGUAAUUUGUGAUUAUAAUACAGUGUUCAAUGGUUGCAUGGCACAAUUUGCGCAACCAUUGUUAGAGGCAUUGCAGUAAGUUUCUUGUCUGCUUUGCUGCACGAUGGAUCACGCUUAUCUUGGUCAGAUCGUAAUUAUAAAAUGUGUUGUCAAUGGCUUACCUGGUUAAAGGCAAAUGGAAAUAAAUAGGUUUAGGUUUAUUUGAACAUCUUGUUACAUUUGCAGAACAUGGAUCAAAUGUGUCAUACAAUUAGGGUUGCACAUUUUGGGGAAUGUUCAGAGGUGGAAACUUUUGGUUGGAAAUAUAUGCAUAUUAAUACCAUUUAAUUGUAGAUGUUUUUUGCAUUGAUAUAUUGUAACAUAUCAUAUGGAAACAGAAACCUUUUACCUUAUCAUAAGUAGACAUAAUUGCAAAUGAUUAAAUCCUUCCAAUAGAAAAAAAAUGUAGUUACGAAUUGAACUUUAAUUAAAUGAGGUGACUCUAAACAUGGGAUGAUUUCACUGAACAACAAAAGAAAGGGAAUAUCGAAUGAUCCUCAAUGAUCCAUCGCAUCUCCCAAAAACGUUUUCAACAUACAUCUGUGAAAUGAUAGUCUAGAAACUAAAGCUUUGGUUGUCUUCCUUUCAGGCUUCUGUGACUUCUCCCUGGGCCUCCUCAAUGUCCACCAUUUGAACAUCAGACUCUGAGGCCUCAUUUUCACUGUCCAACCUCGUUGAGGAUAGCUCGUUGUCAGGCUCAAAAGCCUCAAAUUUGCCCAGGUGGCCACCAAUUUUGCAACCCUUGUAUUGGUCAGCCUGUUGCGUGCUUUAGUGUGUGUGUGUUCCCAAACAAGGACCAAUUGCGCUCCGAGGCGGCUGAUGUUGGGUGGGAUUUGGAGGAUGAUGGAGUCAACAAGGGAAAUUGCCUCAGAUCCACAGUCCCUUCCACCAGGUGGCUGAUGAGAUAUAUUGGCACGACUGCCAUAUUGCCUCUCCAUACCAAAGCCCUUGCUUGGAAGUGUACUUCGCCAGACUGGCAAGAACCUUGCCCUCAUCCAGGACAAGGUGGCGAGACACGGUAGUGAUGACGCCAUAGGCCUUGUUGAUGACACCAUAGGCCUCUGCACCAGACAGUAUGCUCUUGCCAGCAUACUUGGGGUCCAACAUGUACGCUGCGGCAUAUAUGGGCUUCAGGCAGGAGUCUUCACGUUUUUGAUGCAUUUCAGAACUGCAGUUUCCUCUGCUUGGAGCAACAGUGAAGUGGGCAGGGCAGUACGGAUUUCUUCUCUUACAUCUGCAAGCAGAGUCUGAACAUCAGACAGGAUGGCAUUGUCUCCCUCAAUCCGUACAAUGGCUACUACUAUAGGUUUCAGGCUGCUUACCACUCUCCCAAAAUACAUCAUCCAGGAGGAUCCUCUUGAUGGGGCUGUUCAUAUUGGCAGACUGUGAUAUGGCCAUUUCUUGGAGAGACUCCUUCCCCUCCAGGAGACUGUCAAACAUGAUGACAACACCACCCCAACGGGUGUUGCUGGGCAGCUUCAAUGUGGUGCUCUUAUUCUUCUUACUUUGCUUGGUGAGGUAGAUUGCUGCUGUAACGUGAUGACCAUUCACUUACCUAACCAUUUCCUUGGCUCUCUUGUAGAGUGUAUCCAUUGUUUUCAGUGCCAUGCUGUCCUUGAGGAGCAGAUUUAUUGUAUGAGCAGCACAGCCAAUUAGUGUGAUGGGAGGGUAGGACUCCUCCACUUUAGACCAAGCAGCCUUCAUGUUCGCAGCAUUGUCUGUCACCAGUGCACAUACCUUCUGUGGUCCAAGGUCAUUGAUGACUGCCUUCAGCUCAUCUGCAAUGUAGAGAUCAGUGUGCCAGUUGUCCCUUGUCUGUGCUCUUGUAGAAUACUGGUGGAGAUUAUGUAGUUUAAUUAUUCCUUGCCCACAAACAUUCGACCACCCAUCAGAAAUGAUUGCAAUACAGUUUGCUUUCUCUGACUUGCUUGACCUUCACGUGAACUCUGUUAAACUCUGCAUCCAGCAAAUUAGUAGAUAAAGCAUGUCUGGUUGGAGGGGUGUAUGCUGGGUGAAGAACAUUCAGAAAUCUCUUCCGAUGCACAUUGCCUGUGAGCAUCGGAGGUGAACCAGUUGCAUACACAGCUCGUGCAAGACAUUCUGCAUUUCUCUGACUACGUUCCUCCAUUGAGUCCAAAAAAAUUCUGCUUCCAGGAGGACCAUGAGCUGUUGCUAUCGAUAAGGUGUCUGAUUAAUCAUUUUCACCCUGAAUAAAAGUAGAGGGACUUUUGUCAGAGGUUGCUUGUGGUGAGCGCUGAGGGAACUUUAUGCACUUGGCCAGAUGAUUCUGUAUCUUUGUUGCAUUCUUCACAUGUGAUUUGGUACAGCACUUGCAAAUGUACACCGCUUUGAAAUGCCUCCACACAUCAGAUAGUGCCCGUGGCAUUUUCCUGUAAAGAUGAGAAAAAAAAAUGUUAAAAAAACAAACUAAUACAAUUCCAUGUACAGAUAAAUAGUUAAGCAGUUAGAUUAAAACAUUUAUUUUACAAAGGAGUUGUUUAAAAUGAAACAUGUAUUGAAACAGGUGAAUUAUCACUUCAGCAGGCUCAAGCAAGCGUAAACCCACAUGGUAGAAAAAACAAUCUAGCAGAAAUGGUUAACAAGUUAGAAAUGAUUUAAACACACUUUUCUGUAGGCUACUAUUUACUAGUAAACUAAAAAUCAUCAAUGUCAUAUUCACCCCACCCAGUAAUGUAAUCAAAACAGGACAACGACCAUAAGCACACAGCCAAGACAACGCAGGAGUGGCUUCGGGACAAGUCUCUGAAUGUCCUUGAGUGGACCAGCCAGAGCCCGGACUUGAACCCCAUCGAACAUCUCUGGAGAGACCUGAAAAUAGCUGUGCAGCAGCGCUCCCCAUCCAACCUGACAGUGGUUGAGAGGAUCUGCAGAGAAGAAUGGGAGAAACUCCCCAAAUACAGGUGGUUGACACCCCAAGGAUCUUGGACCACCCUUUGGAGGAGAGGAACACCAUUGAGAUGCAGGCCAUCACAGCCCUGCCGCAUCUGCGUUCUGCCGUGCUCUACGUGAUGGAUGUCUUCGAGCAGUGUGGCCAAACCAUGGAGCAGCAGCACAAGUUCUUUAACAACAUUCGGCCCCUCUUUGCCAACAAGGGCAGAGGUCAUGUGUUAUGGAGGCACCAUUUAUGAUUUAAGACUGCAUUACAAAUUACACACUACUCCAUUUAUAGUGCAUUACUUUUUACCAGAGUCCAUACCUCUGGUCAAAAAUAGGUUGCUAUUUAGGAACUAUAUAGUGAAUAGGGUGUGAAAAUAUGUAAGUACCAUAGAUUACUUUUUAAAUGUAGCUGUAACGUCUAUAGUUGUAGGCUUGUGAGUAAAAGUCGACAGUUGUGCAAAAUUCAGAACCUUUGCCUUUUAAAGUACUCUGCUAAAAUUGUGAGGGUGUAGCCUCAAGCUUGGCUGUUGCAGGCAUGCGAGCACGGGUACACCAAGGAAGGAUAGAAAAGGCAAGGACGGACUGCUUUCUUAAUGUUCUGUGUCCUUUGUCUCAAGGCGCCGUGCUACAAUAUUUCUCUGAAAAUGCCAAGGCAUGUAAAAAACUAACUCUGCAAGGUUUUUAAAAAUUAAAUAUUGUCAUUUUUUCGCUA